rnacentral:rRNA from 1 species
GACGAACGCUGGCGGCGCGCUUAACACAUGCAAGUCGAGCGAAGCGGCGGACGGGUGAGUAACACGUGAGUAACCUGCCUUAGACAUUGGGAUAGCCUCGGGAAACCGGGAUUAAUACCAAAUGGUCGAAGAUGAACUCGGGUCCCAUUAGCUAGUUGGUGGGUAACGGCCCACCAAGGCGACGAUGGGGAUCCAGCCUGUGAUGGUGAUCGGCCACAUUUGAACUGAGAAACGGUCCAAACUCUACGGGCGGCAUCAGUGGUGAAUAUUGCACAAUGGGGGAAACCCUGAUGCAGCAAUGCCGCGUGCGGGAUGACGGCCUUCUGGUUGUAAACCGCUUGCAUCCAUGACGCGGUAGUGGCAGAAGAAGCACCGGCUAACUACGUGCCAGCAGCCGCGGUAAUAC